rfam:Eutrema salsugineum unplaced genomic scaffold scaffold_1, whole genome shotgun sequence.
CUAAUGUUUCUUGCUUAAAUGAGUAUUCCAUGGAAGUGAUUCACUCACAUAUAGACCUAAUAAUAUGAGUGGGUUUCUCCUCUUUGAUGAGAUGCUCAUUUGAGCAAGCAAUGUUUG